rnacentral:rRNA from 1 species
GACGGAGGAUGCAAGCGUUAUCCGGAAUGAUUGGGCGUAAAGCGUCUGCAGGUGGCCGUUCAAGUCUGCUGUCAAAGACCGGGGCUUAACUUCGGAAAGGCAGUGGAAACUGAACAGCUAGAGUAUGGUAGGGGCAGAGGGAAUUCCUGGCGUAGCGGUGAAAUGCGUAGAGAUCAGGAAGAACAUCGGUGGCGAAGGCGCUCUGCUGGACCAUAACUGACACUCAGGGACGAAAGCUAGGGGAGCGAAUGGG